rnacentral:rRNA from 1 species
GAACGUUGGCGGCGUGGAUUAGGCAUGCAAGUCGAACGGGCCACGGGUAGCAAUACUUGUGGUCAGUGGCGUAAGGGAGAGUAAUACGUAGGUAUUUACCCUGGGGGUCUGGGAUAGCGGCGGGAAACUGCCGGUAAUACCAGAUGAUAUCUCCGGAUCAAAGGUGUGAUUCCGCCCUAGGAGAAGCCUGCGGUCUAUUAGCUAGUUGGUAGGGUAACGGCCUACCAAGGCAGAGAUGGAUAUGGGGCGUGAGAGCGUGCCCCCCACUCACUGGGACUGAGACACUGCCCAGACACCUACGGGUGGCUGCAGUCGAGAAUCUUCGGCAAUGGGCGCAAGCCUGACCGAGCGACGCCGCGUGCGGGAUGAAGGCCUUCGGGUUGUAAACCGCUGUCGUAGUGGAGGAAAUGUAGGAGAGUUAUCUCUUCUACUUGACUAAUACUAGGAGGAAGGACCGGCUAAUCUCGUG